GAAGUAUUUGCAGUAUAUUCUCGUAGUUUUUGAUUUUUUCAUAUUUUUGUAUCUUUGACCACUGGUUCAAAUGUGUGCAAGUCGUACACAUUAUAUUCUCGUCCUCAAAAGACAGAAAACCUCGAAAUACAUCCGCAAAGACGAUAUUUGAAGCCGCAACUACAGGUAAAAUAUUUCUCAGUUCAUAACUUCACAUGUGCACUGAGUCACACUCGAGCAAAUUUUCUACAAAAAUUGUUGGGUUUAACUGUGGUACAAUGUAUUAUAUUUUAGCCACAAGUAUGUAAAGGUCUCUAAAGCCUCGUUUCAUUUAAAUCGUG